GAUGAACGCUGGCGGCAGGCUUAACACAUGCAAGUCGAGCGAGCGGCGGACGGGUGAGUAAUGUCUGGGAAACUGCCUGAUGGAGGGGGAUAACUACUGGAAACGGUAGCUAAUACCGCAUACCAUCAGAUGUGCCCAGAUGGGAUUAGCUAGUCGGUGGGGUAAUGGCUCACCUAGGCGCCGAUCCCUAGCUGGUCUGAGAGGAUGACCAGCCACACUGGAACUGAGACAGGGUCCAGACUCCUACGGGAGGCAGCAGUGGUGAAUAUUGCACAAUGGGAGAAAGCCGGAUGCAGCCAUGCCGCGUGUGUGAAGAAGGACUUCGGGUUGUAAAGCACUGUCAGCGAGGAGGCGUUACGCGCAGAAGAAGCACCGGCUAACUCCGUGCCAGCAGCCGCGGUAAUAC
rnacentral:rRNA from 1 species